GACGAACGCUGGCGGCGCGCUUAACACAUGCAAGUCGAACGGAAAGGCCUGCUUUCCCUUGUGGAUUGCGGGUACUCGAGUGGCGAACGGGUGAGUAACACGUGAGUGAUCUGCCCCCAACUUGGGUAUAAGCCUGGGAAACUGGGUCUAAUUCCCGAUAGGACUGCAGGGUGGUGCCUGUGGUGGAAAACGAUUUUCUAGUGGUUGGGGAUGAGCUCGCGGCCUAUCAGCUUGUUGGUGGGGUAAUGGCCUACCAAGGCGGCGACGGGUAGCCGGCCUUAGAGGGUGGACGGGCACAGUGAGACUGAGAUACGGCCCAGACUCCGAGGGGAGGCAGCAGUGGGGAAUAUUGCACGAUGGGCGGAAGCCUGAUGCAGCGACGCCGGGUGGGGGAUGACGGGCUUCGGGUUGUAAACUCCUUUCGACCGCGAGGAAGCCUCCUGGUUGGAAGGGUGGUGACGGUAGUGGUAGAAGAAGCACCGGCUAACUACGUG
rnacentral:rRNA from 1 species